GCGGAUGAACAUUGUGUGUCAUGCUUCUCACAGGAACACGCGAACCUCAUUUCAAACAUAUACACAAAAUUGAUAAAAUAUUAAUAAAAUACUCAAUAUUCUUUUACCACUUGCCAGUCGAUUAAUGCCAUUUGAUGACGAGUUACUGCAUCUUUAAUAAUAAAAACAAAACGAGCAUUUCGAAUGAAGCAUUACAAAAAUGUCAUAAGUCGAUUACUCACCAGCAGACGGGCAGGACGACGGUUGUCCAACACGUGGUGCUAGUUCAUUCUGUUAUUUUAGUGUUACUCCGAAAUGAAAUUGUCGUUAUGGAAGAGCCACCGAGAUCAACAGCGACUGAGAACGCAACUAGAAGUCGCGGAAAUACGUACAUUCCUUACCCGGGCCUCUUUGGGACUUCAGAUUUUAGAUGAUCAGCGUUCACCCGUUGAAAUGAAACGGAACAUGAAUGCGGCUCCCGCAAGCAGCAGAGAUCUGGUCCACCUAAUGGCUUACUUCAAAGGAUAAACACCUCGGCCUGCUGAUGUUGAAUA